rnacentral:misc_RNA from 1 species
UACUUGAGCCUUUCCCGUUAGAUCACGUACAGACGAUGCGAGCCUCAGUUGUUUUCCGUUUACACUUGUAUCUGGGUUGUUAUCCUGGUGUUCUGUACUGCUACAGUAACUAACAUUGACAGGGAGUUUAUGUUUCACUGAUACUACGAUAGGGAGAAUAUACUACGCCUUACAUUCAAAGGAUGGGACAUUCGCAUGGGAGCUAGCCAAAUUCGAACGUGUAGUCCAGAAGGCAAGUCUCCGAUAGGAUGGCUGGAGUUGGAGUGAGUCACGAAGAUAUGAGGAUUACUGUACAACUGGGUGAUGUGUCGCAAAUCGAGGCGUGGGUCCGUACUGGUCUGGACCUGGCUCGAUGGAGGGACAGGAAUGGUGAUAACGUAUACCAUAUCUAUGUGAAGUAUGGUUACCAUUGUGAUGCUUUAUGUGUAAUGGAGGCCAUACCUCGUGUCUGUCCUACACAUUCAUCGCUCAUUACAGAACCUAACAGUAGAGGAAUUACACCUCUCGUAAGAGCUUGUCAGUUCUCCACGUUAUCAGAUGACUGGUUCACUCUGGCCGUCCUGGAGUUCCUCAUCCAUCACAGCCAAAACAUCAAUUACGACCAGCUACUACGUAUGGCACAACACAGAAAGACUCACAGAUUUCUGUCAUGGAGGAAGAAAAAUCCAUCAGGGUUGCCAGAAUCCAUCCGAAGGACAACUGAUCAGAAAAUCAUGAGAUACAUCAACACGGUGGAGUCUAUGGACAAAGAAGCGGCAAAACGUUACAGGGAUGCCAUGGCGAAGGAAUGUGGCAGAUCUCGCAGUAUUAGGAUCUAUUAUGUUGGGUUUAAUGGGGUAGGCAAAAGUACCCUCUGUAGAAACAUGAGAGGAGUUAGCACACAGGGAUUGACGAGCACUGACCUGAUGGAGGCCUUCAUACAGCGCCAAGUUAUCAAUACAACGACGGGGAAAUUGAGGAAUAUAACAGACGACAUGGAACACCAUCUAGCCCUUGAUAAAAUCAAUAGAGAGAUGGCUUUUGAGAGAAUGAAACGAAAAGCAGCCCUCGAUAAGGUCAAAGAAGAAAUGGAAUCGGAGAAGGGCCAAAACCAGGUUGACUUCGGUCGUGGGAUUAGUGGUUUCCUGUCAAGUGUUAAACAGAAAUUCAUCAAUCCUUUUGUGUCUAUGUUCUCUAAGAAAAAACACACAGACAAUCCAGAAAGCUGCGCCAUGACAGAAGAACUUGCUCCUGGUGAAGAGACGGUUCAUCUCUCCGAGCCAAAGCCAAGUCAAUCUCUAGAGCAGGAAUCAUCAACCGGACGUGACGGAAAGGCUUUGGAUCGACAAAAACGGGAUGAGAGAUCAUAUGACUGCGCCGUUCAGUUAGACGUCCUUCAACUGGAAGAAAUGGACGAGGAAGCAUAUGUAUCGAUGUGGGAUUUCGGAGGAGAGGAGCUAUUUGUCAACACAAACCAUCUGUUUCUCAGUGGAGAUGCAGUUUAUCUGCUGGUUUUUAAUUUGUUGGAGUAUGAGGACCCGAGUGGACGCAUGCGUAGUAUGGUUAAGUUCUGGCUGAAAUCGGUGAACAGUUUGUCGAAAGAACGAACAAGUAAAACGAAACAGUCACCACCAGUUAUAAUGAUUGGAACAUUUCUGGAUAAGAUUCCUGGGACGCAAUGGGAGAAAGAUGAGAAGGCAGCGUACAUCAAGGAAAAGCUAUUUAAUGAUCCUGACUUGAAAGCAAUCUCGGAAAAACAUGUUGUCGCCUUCUUUCCUCUCAGUAAUGUGGCUGGUAACCGUGGAAAAAUCAAGCAGAUAUGGAGAGCCGUGCUAGAAGCAGCGCCCUUCCAGUCUCACUGGCAUACCGAGGUACCUCUGGCCUGGCUCGCAAUCGAAAGAGAAAUCAUGUUACUGAAAAGUAAAAAUGUCAAAAUUCUCACUCUGCAAGACGUUUUCAACAUAGCCAAAAAUCUUGAAUUCGACAUAGAGGACUUGGAAAACUGCGUCCUAGACGCACUGAGAUAUUUCAAUAGGACUGGCUUAGUACUCUCCGUGGUAUUGAAUAAUGCCAACUGUAAGGUUGUUAUUAAUCCGAUGUGGUUAGUGAAAAACUUUAGACUGAUAAUCACUGUUCAGAAAUUCCAGACACGACAUGACUCACUGGAUCACUACAACAAGACAGGGGAGAUAACUCUUGACCUCAUCAGGUUACUUUUAAAACAAGGUGAUGAGGAAAACCACUUCCCCGACCAUGAGGAAGUCCUCGUGUACUACAUGGAGCGCCUGGCACUUAUCACCCGCCCGCUUACAAGGGAAGGACAGGCAACCGAUGACGUAUUUGUAGUUCCAUGCAUCCUUCCAGCCGCUGACCCAGAGACGCUUCGACACAUCAUCGAGAGCCCUGGAACAACAAAGACAUCAACAUUGUCGUUUCUAUUCCGAAACGUCUUCGUGUCGUCCCCUGUUUAUGACAAGUUACUCGCGUCAUGUAUCUACUGUUUCGAGGCAGCUAAACUAGCAGGAGAAACCCAGUGUCUCCAGAGAGGAUUCGGCUGUUUCCAAUUAAACCCGCGCUGGGAUAUGGUCAUACACUGCGAAGACUGCAUUAUUAAGGUGACACUCUUCUCCGCGAACAAGAUAAGUAAAGUAAAGCCCGGAGAGGGCUUCUAUGUGAAAAAUGUCAUCGCAACAAUGUUAAACAAUGUUCUGAUCACAAACCAACAGCAGCAUCUAGUUGACACAUUUGAACUUUGUCUUGAUAAGUCUUACUUUGUGCUUCCCGCAGAAGAGCCAGUUCCCGAAAAUGUUGUAUCACAAUCAAGUGAACCGAUUGUGUGUCCCGGACCUGCAGGUACCCAGACGGUAUCGCAAGAUGAUCGAAAUGUGUGGUUUGUCGACCCAUCUUCAGUGAAGGUUCCAACAGAAGUGUCCCUCCCUUUCACCGCCGAUAUGUUGGAGAAGCGACUUACUCCCAGACAAAUGAGCCAUGUUGCCAAAUGCAUCGGUACAAGUUACUGUGUGCUUUUCAUUGAAAUUGGUUUGGAAAUGGAUGAAAUCGAAAACGUGAAACAUGAUUGCCGACAGCUGAGCACUAGGACUCUCAUUACACUUCUGAUUAGGAAAUGGAGCAUCAAGUUUGGACCAAAGGCUGUGUUUGGUCGCAUCUACCACGCCAUGAAGUCGAGAGAAAUAAGCACAGACAAGCUUUUUACUGAAAUGGAGAGAAAACUCCCUACGGCCAACGCCCCUCAAACAUCUAAUUCCGGAAGACUGAAGCAAGUCAAUGACGAAUACAUGUUGGUAGGAGACAUUGACAAGAUGGAAGCUUACAAAGGCAAGGCAGACAUUGAAGGAGACAGGACGAACAUUGAGGAAGACAAGACAGAUGGUGACAAAGUCAAGACAGAAGGUGAUGGAUGGAAGAUGGAACGUGGCGAAAACAUUAUAGGAGUUGACGAAAUCAAGGUUAAACGUGUCGAAACUAUGAUUGGAGAAGACGAAAGCAAGAUGGAACGUUGCAAAAAUGUGAUUGGAGGAGGCGAAAGCAAGAUGGAACGUUGCAAAAAUGUGAUUGGAGGAGGCGAAAGCAAGAUGGAACGUUGCAAAAAUGUGAUUGGAGGAGGCGAAAGCAAGAUGGAACGUUGCAAAAAUGUGAUUGGAGGAGGCGAAAGCAAGAUGGAACGUUGCAAAAAUGUGAUUGGAGGAGGCGAAAGCAAGAUGGAACGUUGCAAAAAUGUGAUUGGAGGAGGCGAAAGCAAGAUGGAACGUUGCAAAAAUGUGAUUGGAGGAGGCGAAAGCAAGAUGGAACACGACAGAGUGGGAAAGACCAAAGCCAAAGGGUGACAAACACAAAUCGGUCGCAGACGAAGAAAAGAUUGAAGAUUACAGAGGCAAAACAGAGGUUGGCGAGGCGGAAGAUGCUACAAAUGCGUACGACGACAAAUCUCCAACCACGGAUGAGUUGAGCAUCAUCGCAGGCAAGAUAGGAAUGUCGUACAUCAUUUUCUUCU